rnacentral:rRNA from 1 species
GACAGAGGGUGCAAACGUUGUUCGGAAUUACUGGGCGUAAAGCGCGUGUAGGCGGCCCGGAAAGUCGGAUGUGAAAGCCCUGGGCUUAACCCAGGAAGUGCAUUCGAAACUCCCGGGCUUGAGUUCUGGAGAGGAAGGCGGAAUUCUCGGUGUAGAGGUGAAAUUCGUAGAUAUCGAGAGGAACACCGGUGGCGAAGGCGGCCUUCUGGACAGUGACUGACGCUGAGACGCGAAAGCGUGGGAGCAAACAGG